rnacentral:rRNA from 1 species
GAUGAACGCUGGCGACGUGCCUAAUACAUGCAAGUCGAGCGAACAGACGAGGAGCUUGCUCCUUUGACGUUAGCGGCGGACGGGUGAGUAACACGUGGGUAACCUACCUAUAAGACUGGGAUAACUUCGGGAAACCGGAGCUAAUACCGGAUAAUAUUUCGAACCGCAUGGUUCGAUAGUGAAAGAUGGCUUUGCUAUCACUUAUAGAUGGACCUGCGCCGUAUUAGCUAGUUGGUAAGGUAACGGCUUACCAAGGCAACGAUACGUAGCCGACCUGAGAGGGUGAUCGGCCACACUGGAACUGAGACACGGUCCAGACUCCUACGGGAGGCAGCAGUAGGGAAUCUUCCGCAAUGGGCGAAAGCCUGACGGAGCAACGCCGCGUGAGUGAUGAAGGUCUUCGGAUCGUAAAACUCUGUUAUUAGGGAAGAACAAACGUGUAAGUAACUGUGCACGUCUUGACGGUACCUAAUCAGAAAGCCACGGCUAACUACGUG